rnacentral:tRNA from 1 species
GGGGUUGUGGCUCAGCGGUAGAGUGCUCACCUAGCAUAUGUGAGGCACUGGGUUCGAUACUCAGUACCACA